rnacentral:rRNA from 1 species
AGGGCACCACCAGGAGUGGAGCCUGCGGCUUAAUUUGACUCAACACGGGAAAACUCACCCGGCCCGGACACUGGAAGGAUUGACAGAUUGAGAGCUCUUUCUUGAUUCAGUGGGUGGUGGUGCAUGGCCGUUCUUAGUUGGUGGAGCGAUUUGUCUGGUUAAUUCCGAUAACGAACGAGACUCUAGCCUACUAAAUAGAUCGUUGGCUUACAAACGCCAAUGAGACUUCUUAAAGGGACAGGCGGCGAUUCAGCCGCACGAAACAGAGCAAUAACAGGUCUGUGAUGCCCUUAGAUGUCCGGGGCCGCACGCGCGCUACACUGAAGUGAUCAGCGUGCAUUCUCAGCCUACUCUGCCAAGAGUGGGAAACCCAAUGAACCUUCUUCGUGAUUGGGAUAGGAGAUUGUAAUUAUUCUCCUUGAACGAGGAAUUCCCAGUAAGCGCGAGUCAUAAGCUCGCGUUGAUUACGUCCCUGCCCUUUGUACACACCGCCCGUCGCUACUACCGAUAGAAUGUUUU